rnacentral:rRNA from 1 species
UACGUAGGUGGCAAGCGUUAUCCGGAUUUAUUGGGCGUAAAGGGAACGCAGGCGGUCUUUUAAGUCUGAUGUGAAAGCCUUCGGCUUAACCGGAGUAGUGCAUUGGAAACUGGGAGACUUGAGUGCAGGAGAGGAGAGUGGAAUUCCAUGUGUAGCGGUGAAAUGCGUAGAUAUAUGGAGGAACACCGGUAGCGAAAGCGGCUCUCUGGCCUGUAACUGACACUGAGGCUCGAAAGCGUGGGGAGCAAACAGG